rnacentral:rRNA from 1 species
UUAAGUAAGGAAGGGCGUACGGCGAAUGCCUUGCCACUCGAAACUGAAGAAGGACGCGCCAAACUGCGAAAAGCUCCGUGAAGCUGUAAGGAAGCGAAGAAGCGGAGGUGUCCGAAUGGGGGAACCCGGCAGCAGACAUGAGCUGUCAUCUGCAGGUGAAUACAUGGCCUGCAAGAGAGGUACCCGGCGAACUGAAACAUCUAAGUAGCCGGAGGAAAAGAAAACAACAGUGAUUCCCUGAGUAGCGGCGAGCGAAAGGGGAGAAGCCCAAACCGGUUGAAGGACCGGGGUUGAAGGACCAUGACAUGGCAAGAACGAGGAUAGGAGAACGGGAUCGAAAGCCCGGCCGAAGAAGGUGAAAGCCCUGUAACCGAAAUCCGAGUAAAGCCUAAUGGGAUCCUGAGUACGGCGAGACACGAGAAAUCUUGUCGGAAGCAGGCGGGACCAUCCGCCAAGGCUAAAUAUAAACGAGUGAGCGAUAGUGAACCAGUACCGUGAGGGAAAGGUGAAAAGAACCGCGGGAGCGGAGUGAAAGAGAACCUGAAACCGUAUGCCUACAAGAAGUCAGAGCCCGUUAAGGGGUGAUGGCGUGCCUUUUGUAGAAUGAACCGGCGAGUUGCGACAGACUGCGAGGUUAAGGAGGAAAGACCGGAGCCGAAGCGAAAGCGAGUCUUAAGAGGGCGAAAGUAAGAUGUUGCAGACCCGAAACCGGGUGAUCUAGCCAUGAGCAGGUUGAAGUUGAGGUGAAACUCAAUGGAGGACCGAACCGACUACCGUUGAAAAGUUAGCGGAUGACUUGUGGCUAGGGGAGAAAUUCCAAUCGAACCCGGAGAUAGCUGGUUCUCCCCGAAAUAGCUUUAGGGCUAGCGUCGGAAAGAACCUUAGUGAAGGUAGAGCACUGAAUGUGUGAUGGCCCCAUCCCGGGGUACUGAAUACAAUCAAACUGCGAAUGUCAUUAAGGAUGUCCGGCAGUCAGACUGUGAGUGAUAAGGUCCAUGGUCAAGAGGGAAACAGCCCAGACCGCCAGUUAAGGUCCCAAAAUACAGGCUAAGUGGAAAAGGAUGUGGGGAUGCCCAGACAACUAGGAGGUUGGCUCAGAAGCAGCCAUCCUUUAAAGAGUGCGUAACAGCUCACUAGUCGAGUGACCCUGCGCCGAAAAUGUACCGGGGCUAAGCCUGAUACCGAAACUGCGGAUUGUAGGAAACUAUAGUGGUAGGGGAGCGUUGUAUACGAGCAGAAGCCGUACCGUGAGGAGCGGUGGAUUGUAUAGAAGUGAGAAUGCCGGUGUGAGUAGCGAGAUGUAGGUGAGAAUCCUACACACCGAAAGCCCAAGGAUUCCAGGGGAAGGUUCGUCCGCCCUGGGUAAGUCGGGACCUAACGCGAGGCCGAAAGGCGUAGUGGAUGGAAAGCAGGCGAAAGAUUCCUGCACCCGUAUAUGGAGCGAAGGAGUGACGGAGACGGAUAGUGUGACCCUCUUAAUGGAUUGAGGGCGAAGCGAAGCGGCUGGUUACCAGGCAAAUCCGGUAACCAAAAGGCUAGAGCGUGACAGGUAAGCGAAAUCUUCGGAAAGUAGCGAAGCACAUGAUGACGGCUUCCAGGAAAAGCUUCUGGCAAUGCAUAUGCGGCCCGUACCAAAACCGACACAGGUGGGCAGGGAGAGAAUCCCGAGGUGAGCGAGAGAACUGUUGCCAAGGAACUCGGCAAAAUGACUCCGUAAGUUAGCGAGAAGGAGUGCUUAAGCAAUUAAGCCGCAGUGAAGAGGCCCAAGCGACUGUUUAACUAAAACACAGCUCUCUGCGAAGUCGCAAGACGAAGUAUAGGGGGUGACACCUGCCCGGUGCUGGAAGGUUAAGAGGAUCUGUUAAGAGCGAUCUGAAGCAGUGAUCCGAAGCCCCAGUGAACGGCGGCCGUAACUAUAACGGUCCUAAGGUAGCGAAAUUCCUUGUCAGGUAAGUUCUGACCCGCACGAAAGGUGUAACGAUUUGGGCGCUGUCUCGGCAGCAGACUCGGUGAAAUCUUAGUACCUGUGAAAAUGCAGGUUACCCGCAACUAGACGGAAAGACCCCAUGGAGCUUUACUGCAGCCUGAUAUUGAAUUCUGGUCAUACAUGUACAGGAUAGGUGGGAGACAAAGAGACGUGCACGCCAGUGUACGAGGAGUCGACGUUGGGAUACCACUCUUGUGUGACCGGGGUUCUAACCUGGUAUCGAGAACAGGUACGGGGAGAGUGUCAGGUGGGCAGUUUGACUGGGGCGGUCGCCUCCCAAAGAGUAACGGAGGCGCCCAAAGGUACGCUCAGAUUGGAUGGAAACCAAUCGUCGAGUGCAAUUGCAGAAGCGUGCUUGACUGUGAGACAGACAAGUCGAACAGGGACGAAAGUCGGGAAUAGUGAUCCGGCGGUGCCGAAUGGAAGGGCCGUCGCUCAACGGAUAAAAGCUACCCUGGGGAUAACAGGCUGAUCUCCCCCAAGAGUCCACAUCGACGGGGAGGUUUGGCACCUCGAUGUCGGCUCAUCGCAUCCUGGGGCUGUAGUAGGUCCCAAG